GGCCUCGUAGCGCCCUGCGGGCGCGGAGACGAUGACCCGCAUCGGGAGAGCCCAGGAUCCUCGGCCCUUUCAAGGCCGCAACCGGGGUUCGAAUCCCCGUGGGGUCA
rnacentral:tRNA from 1 species